rnacentral:rRNA from 1 species
GUCGAUUUUGGAUGUCAUAAAAUGACUGGGGGAAGGUAGCUCCUUCGGGAGUGUUAACCCUUAGUAGAUGUGAUGUUCGGGAUCGAGGAUUGCAACGGAUACCCUUUGGGCUAGUCCCUGGUCUCUAAUACGAAGUUGGGUUAUGGAUAGCAUGCUAAUCAUGAUCUGAUUUUCGUUAAAAGAUUAGAGUGAGUGUAAAUUCGUUAAGGACGCUGACGUAAUGGCUUUAAACGA